rnacentral:rRNA from 1 species
CUGUAAUUGGAAUGAGUACACUUUAAAUCCUUUAACAAGGACCUAUUGGAGGGCAAGUCUGGUGCCAGCAGCCGCGGUAACUCCAGCUCCAAUAGCGUAUAUUAAAGUUGUUGCGGUUAAAACGUUCGUAGUUGAACUUGUGCUUCAUACGGGUAGUACAACUAUAAUUUUAGUUUGUACUUAACCUUAUGUAUGUAAGCGUAUUACCGGUGGAGUUCUUAUAUAUAAAUACUUUAUUUUCCUCCUAUUUAAACCCGCUUCAGUGCUCUUCAUCGAGUGUUGUUGUGGGCCGGUACAAUUACUUUGAACAAAUUAGAGUGCUUAAAGCAGGCUCCAAAUGCCUGAAUAUUUUGUGCAUGGAAUAAUGAAAUAAGACCUCUGUUCUACUUUCAUUGGUUUUUAGAUCAAGAGGUAAUGAUUAAUAGAAGCAGUUUGGGGGCAUUAGUAUUACGACGCGAGAGGUGAAAUUCUUGGACCGUCGUAAGACUAACUUAAGCGAAAGCAUUUGCCAAAGAUGUUUUCAUUAAUCAAGAACGAAAGUUAGAGGUUCGAAGGCGAUCAGAUACCGCCCUAGUUCUAACCAUAAACGAUGCCAGCUAGCAAUUGGGUGUAGCUACUAUCAUGGCUCUCUCAGUCGCUUCCCGGGAAACCAAAGCUUUUGGGCUCCGGGGGAAGUAUGGUUGCAAAGCUGAAACUUAAAGGAAUUGACGGAAGGGCACCACCAGGAGUGGA